ensembl:lncRNA
AUAAACAUCGUAGUUUCCCUCAACGUGAGCACUCAAAAGAUAGGUUACAGUAUUUAAAAUAAUUUUAAAACAACCACAACCCCAAACCACCGAAUUGGAAAGGUAUUACCUGAAAAUACCCAACAAUAAGGUAAUGAUUUUACAAUGAUGCUAAAUAUGUAUGUAAUAUAGAUGAAACUUUUUUUAAAGACCAUUUUUCUAAAUGAGUCAACUUGCUAUGUAGGAAGAUAUUAUGUGGAUUGUGUGUUUGUAGAAUUUGAAUUCCACUUUUCACAAGCACUGUUAGCAUAGUUUGAUGAUCAGGACACAAACCCAGGAGAUUAACCCACACGGGAUAAAUAGCAGCAUUACGUAGCUUUGAAAUGAUUCCAAACACAUAGUUUGCUACAAGAGUGAGUGAUUCGUGUUUAGCCGUAACUUAGAACAUACUCCCCCAUCCACUAGGAAUGUGAAUUCACCCUUCACCAGAUCCCACAUGUAUGAACUUGACGUAAACAUCACCUCUCCUAGCUAAUGUGACAUUACACCUUAUCAAACACCAUAUAUAAGUUACUGACCUCAACUACAGGAUUUCGAAAUACAUAUAAACUCAAGAAUUUGCAAGAUACUUUGAGAGCUCAGAGGGUGGCAGAUCAUACACUCUGUCAGCCACUUCCCUUAUCACUACCAGCUCAGGCUGCAACAGGGCCACACCCUGUUAGCCUUUAAGCUUUGAAACCUAUCCACCAACACUGGCACCACCCUCUAGCAUCAUGAGACCUUGCAUAUUCUCACAGAUCUUCAAUAUGUUGGACACCAUCUUUCCCAGGAACCUCAGCCUUCAAAAGCUCAGCGAGAUCCAGUUCUUGUCUCAAGACCAGGAAGAAUUAAGUUUGCAGACACUUGAAGAGUGAGUAGAGUAGAAUUUAUUAAGUGAGAGGAAAGCUCUCAGAAAAGAGAGGGGUCCUGAAAGUGGGUUCCCAGUUGCCUGCUUCACAGCUGAAUACAAGGGAUUUUACAUACAAGUUAGGGGUUAGGUUCCCUAUUUGUAUAAGGUACAAAUUCCUGGUGGCUCCAUCCCAUUCCCCUAGUAUGCAUUUGGGCCCUUAGUCCACUGUGGGCAUGUUUAGGCAAGAUCCUGUGUAAGUUCCCUUAUCUGUAGGAAACACAGAUGGGAGGUUCUCUAGACACCCUUCCCUUACUGCCUGCCUAAAGCAAGCUGGCUAACUCCAUUCAAUGUAAUUCACGAAAUCAUACUUUUAUCUUUUUAUUUUGAACCAUACAAAACACAGAGCCAGUUUCUACUGGUCACUCUUUCCACAGCUUCUUCAAUAAACUUUAUUAUGAUAUAUAAAACUAAAUGUGAAUAGCUAAUACAGAUCAGAAUCAGGCUAUAUAAUGGAAUUCAUUUAACUUGGAUUCCUCAAAUCAGUCUAGCCUUGUAGGUACUCAAAAAUUUUUGCCUGUUUUAUUUUUGGACUAGCCAUGGAGAAAGAAAGGUGAACACUGGAGCCCAGCUAUCUCUUUCUCUUUUGCUGAUUUCCUUAUCUCUGUGCUUUUUAAUAAGGUAACAUACAAAAUGCAACACACUGUUUUACAAAACUCUAUAGUCAUAAGGCUUAGAACAACUAUGGACCACUCAAAAAGUCUACAGUAAUUUGCAUCUAGCACAUAAAUGAUAGGAGAGCAGGAUUGAUCAUGAGGUUUCUGAAACAUAGCUGGUUCUCUGGAGUUAGAGGAUUGUUUUAACUAUUCAACAAUCAACCAUUUAUUGAGCACCUCUUAUGUACCGGACAGCCCUCUUGAGAUCUUCUGAAGCAUUAAGCAAAUGAUAAUGCUCAAAAAAAUACCUAACCACUGCCUCGUGUCAAAUAGACCACAAAACAGAACCUAGCACAAACAACCAGAGCUGGAUCUAAAUGAAUGCAGCAAAACUGGGAAAUGGAGGGAAGCAAUCUGGGAUUUCACACAAAGAAUAGUUCUGAUGCAAAAUCUUUUACAGUGGCAAAUGGUUUCCAUGGUAAACUAUGAAUGAUACAUAAUUUGGGGUUCAACUUAAAGGCCAGAUGUGGUGGCUCAUGCCUGUAAUCCCAGCAUUUUGGGAGGCCAAAGCAGGAGGAUCAACUGGUGAUAUAUGAGUUAAGUUGAAAUCACUUAGGCAGAUAGUAAGGGUAUGGGAGCCCUUGGUAAGGCUUUUUUCUUUAAUGAAAAGCAGCCUCAAAUCAUUUACUGACAAAGAGCAGCCUGUGAAGUCGAGCUGUAGACAUAGACAAGCAAGCUGGGAGCUUGCACUGGUGAAUGCCAGCAGGAACUAGGGACUAGACAUGUUCAGGAUGGCAGCUCCAUCUUUCCUUCGCUUUGUCAGCCACGUGUACAGUAAGAAGCAAUCAACGGG